CCUACGGGUGACAGCAGUGGGGAAUAUUGCACAAUGGGGGAAACCCUGAUGCAGCGACGCCGCGUGAAGGAAGAAGUAUUUCGGUAUGUAAACUUCUAUCAGCAGGGAAGAAAAUGACGGUACCUGACUAAGAAGCCCCGGCUAACUACGUGCCAGCAGCCGCGGUAAUACGUAGGGGGCAAGCGUUAUCCGGAUAUACUGGGUGUAAAGGGAGCGUAGGCGGCGAUGCAAGUCAGAAGGGAAAGCCCGGGGCUCAACUCCGGGACUGCUUUUGAAACUGUGUUGCUAGAGUGCAGGAGAGGUAAGUGGAAUUCCUAGUGUAGCGGUGAAAUGCGUAGAUAUUAGGAGGAACACCAGUGGCGAAGGCGGCUUACUGGACUGUAAAUGACGCUGAGGCUCGAAAGCGUGGGGAGCAAACAGGAUUAGAUACCCUGGUAGUC
rnacentral:rRNA from 1 species